AGCCAGAUAAGUAUCAGGAGUGUUUCUUCAUUGGAAGUGAUGACAAAAAUUGUCCUUUAGAGUAUAUUAGUUGUUUAAUCAUCAAUGAGUAGACUAACGCAUACAUUUUUUUUGGACUGCACCCAUAUAGUUUGUCUUUGCUGAAUAUACUAUAUUUACUUCAUUUCUCUAUUGAGUUAGCAAUGGCAAUAUGAUUGAUUUAUAUACUAUAUAAUUUGCACCCAUAUAAUGAUCAAUUAACCAUGUUUCUCUAUAUAAUUUGUCUUUGCUGAAUAUACUAUAUUUGUUUGGUCUGCACCCAUAUAAUGAUCAAUUAACUCCUGAAAAUACCCUUUCCAGAUAUAAUUUCUUUUCAUCAUUGUUAAGGCUGAUUUUACCUAUUUCACUUAAAUGGCGACCUCCCUGCACUCCCAUUUUUCUGCUUAGGAUUCUCAUUUAAUUGGUGAGCACUCAGAUUUGGAAUAUCAGCUCUUUAGUACUGGUUUAUCAUUUUAAGAAAAUAGGAGCAAUGUGAUUUUGUUCUCUAGAGACUAGAAUUGAAUAGUUAGUCCUUUUAGUACUAUCCUACUACCAUUUGUAGCUAACAGAUGCAUCAGUUCGACUAGGCAUUAUCAUGUAUUGUACCGUAGUAUCUUUUUUGCAUAGAGUAAAUACCUACUUCUGCUGCAGGUUACUUUUCUUUAUAAAAUUUGGUUCAGGAUGCCGUUUUACCUGUUGUAAUACCUUCAGCAUAGAAGCAGUAGUGGUCUGCUCCUCCAAAGAUCUAUAGCUUGUGGAUGCGGCGGAUGUGGCACAGGGAGCAGAUGAAUUGGGAAUAAGAGGACCCCCGGCGCGCGCACAAAUUGUUUCUACCUGACGGCUGAUAGUGAGGAUGCCUCUGACCUGUCCCGAGAAGGUUCGAGCCGAAGUACGACUUGUACAACGCAUCACCAAUUCGUCCGACAGUGUAAAAUGCGUUUGUGUUAGCUGAGUGAAAAUUAGAGAUCAGCCUGGUGGUACUUUAUUAUUUUAUUCUAUAGCUUGAUCUGCCAAAUGCUAUUAAGGAAAUGAAGUUUCUUCCUCGAUCAAGUUAUCAAUCCUUAUUGGGUGUAUGCUUCCUACUCAACACCUGAAUAAUCAAUUUGUACAUGCUCAUAUAUAUUAAUAUGCUAUUUUGUUGGU